CCUACGGGGGGCAGCAGUGGGGAAUAUUGGGCAAUGGGCGCAAGCCUGACCCAGCAACGCCGCGUGAAGGAAGAAGGCUUUCGGGUUGUAAACUUCUUUUGUCAGGGACGAAGCAAGCGACGGUACCUGACGAAUAAGCCACGGCUAACUACGUGCCAGCAGCCGCGGUAAUACGUAGGUGGCAAGCGUUAUCCGGAUUUACUGGGUGUAAAGGGCGUGUAGGCGGGCCUGCAAGUCAGAUGUGAAAACCAGGGGCUCAACCUGGGGACUGCAUUUGAAACUGGAGUACUUGAGUACUGGAGAGGCAGACGGAAUUCCUAGUGUAGCGGUGAAAUGCGUAGAUAUUAGGAGGAACACCAGUGGCGAAGGCGGUCUGCUGGACAGCAACUGACGCUGAGGCGCGAAAGCGUGGGGAGCAAACAGGAUUAGAUACCCUAGUAGUC
rnacentral:rRNA from 1 species